CCUGCCCCCAGAGGCAGUGCAGCUGUGACUGCUGUACCACAUGUGUGUCACUAGGUGGCAGAGAGGAGAGAGGCUUUGUCUCUGCUCAUCUGACCUGUGAACAUCUGAAGACUGUAGGCUAACAUU